rnacentral:rRNA from 1 species
AGUCUGCUGAGAGGUGGAUGUGCUCGAAAGAGAACCGUAACACAGGUGCUGCAUGGCUGUCGUCAGCUCGAGUCGUGAGAUGUUGGGUUAAGUCCCGCAACGAGCGCAACCCUUGUCCUUAGUUGCUACGCAAGAGCACUCUAAGGAGACUGCCGGUGACAAACCGGAGGAAGGUGGGGAUGACGUCAAGUCCUCAUGGCCCUUAUGGGUAGGGCUUCACACGUCAUACAAUGGUCGGUACAGAGGGCUGCCAAACCGCGAGGUGGAGCUAACCCCAGAAAACCGAUCGUAGUCCGGAUCGCAGUCUGCAACUCGACUGCGUGAAGCUGGAAUCGCUAGUAAUCGCGGAUCAGCAUGUCGCGGUGAAUACGUUCCCGGGUCUUGUACACACCG